GGAUUAGAUACCCUGGUAGUCCACGCAGUAAACGAUGAGUGUUAGAUGUCGGGGCUUUAAGUCUCGGUGUCGUAGCUAACGCGUUAAACACUCCGCCUGAGGAGUACGGUCGCAAGAUUAAAACUCAAAGGAAUUGACGGGGACCCGCACAAGCGGUGGAACAUGUGGUUUAAUUCGAUGCUACGCGAAGAACCUUACCAGGCCUUGACAUGGUGGUCGUACGAUUAAGAAACUAGUCGGUCAGUUCGGCUGGACCAUCACAGGUGUUGCAUGCCUGUCGUCAGCUCGUGUCG
rnacentral:rRNA from 1 species